UAGGAAGACCCCAAUUCGAAGGAUCUUUCCCCUCCCAGGGUGGGCGUUUGACCACCUUGCCCCCUGAAUACAGCACAGGCUGAGCAGGGCAAUUCCUGCUGUGUCACCUCUCCUCUGUGCCUCAGUCUCACCCUUCUAACUUACCCCAAGGGAUGCAGUUGGAGCACGUGCCAAGCUGUCUGGGACUUAAGAGAUCAGUUCUAGGAGGACGUUGGAGGCACACACCUAAUGGUCCUGAGCUUGUCACCAUCACCUAAUUGGCCACCAUCCAUUGAAGCCUCAGUUUCCUCAUCUGAAAAGUCUGUAGUUUCAAGCUCAAAUGAAGACAUCCUGGCCCUCUUGCUGUUUCUCACACACAACAUUCCAUAUUCUUCCCUCUGUGACUUGGCAUGGCGCUAAGUCCACGUCUGGAAUGUGCCUUCUUCCCACCUCCAACUCUCCAAACGAGAAUCGACUUUCCUCCAGAACGUUAGAGGAAAUGGAGAUGCCCAGUUAUACCCAGGCACAGCCCACAGUUCUCCAUUGCCACAAGGACACAGAUGUGCAUGGCUCUUUGGCUUUUUUUAUGGUUUUUACACAAUAGAGGAACAGGAACACAUCAGCCAAGCUGUGAUUAGAUCCUAGUGUGUACUGCCUCUCCCAAGAGCGGGGAGUUUGAUAGAAAACAUUCCAAGGACACAAAACUCAAAGGUUAUACUGAGAGUCACCACAUGAAGUCACAUUGCUCAUCUCUGUUGUUGCUCAGUCAUGUCUGACUCUUUGCAACCCCAUUUGAGUUUUUUUUUUGGCAAAAAUAUUGGGGAAACUGAGGCUGAGAGAAUUCCAGUGACUUUCUCAGGAUCACAGAGCUAGGUAGCAUUCAAACCCAGAUGUUCUUAAUUCCAAGUGCAGCACUCUGUCAACUGUGCCACCUAACUAGGAAGAUGUGAGAUGAGGACGAGAAGGCAGGAUUUGUUCCUCCCUCAAACAACAAGGGCUUUGAGUGAGAAAAAGAAUGGGGCAGGAGACCCCUGAUACAUGGACACUGAUCAGCAAGUAUAAGUGCCAUUUGCUGUUUCCUUCUACUCCAAGCCUCUGCAGGAGACCAGCAGACAGGAGCUGGUCUUCUUGGGAGCCGAUCUCUGGUACAACGGGGGAAACUUCUGGGACUAAAACGGUGAUUGAGCAAUUGAGGAUUGUCAUUCCUAUUCAGGACACUUCAUGGGCGCCAGGAGAUCCCUUAUUCGGUCUAAGCCCAAGUCACUUUGGGACUUCCCUUAAGAUGAGCAUCAGAGAUGGAACUGGACCCCAGGACUCCUGAUUUCUACCCCCAGCUGGCUCCUUGACUCAGCCUGCUUCUCCAGAGCAUCCGGGAGCCCGGGAGAAUGUCUUCCAUUUGUAUAGGCCUUGGCCCUUCUCAUCUAUGAUCAGAAAGCCUGAGUAGAAAGGACCCUUUUAAGGCAAGGCAGCUCUUCCACUGGAGACAUGAAAAACGGAGGCCCAGGUUCACAUCGUGGAAUAGCAAGUGGCAGAGCCCAGAACUUCUACUGCCAAGUCCACCGUUGACUCUAGACACCACGGUGCCAGAGAGGCAAGUGCCAGAAGACUCCUGCACCCAGGGGCAGGCAGGCAGACACAGGUCACCUUAGUGAACUCUGUGCCUUGUGAUGGUAGAACAGAAAAGGAGAAAGAAGAGGCCAAGAGAGAAGAAGGGCAGGCCAAAGGGUUCCACUUCCUGGAAGUGGCUCCCUUCUCAGCCCCUCUCUCCUCCUCCAUAAGCCAGUCAGCUCUAUCUCCAGAUCUUUUAAAAGCACUGACCAGAUGCCAGACACUGGGGAGGGGGAGACAGCCUGGAACCAGGCCCUGCCCUUCAGGAGCCUUCAUUGUAUUGGGGCAUAGGGAAGCUGCUUUGGCUAAAGGAGAGAGUGUUGGGAGAGUCCUCUGGAAAGGCAGGCUAGAAGGUAAAUAUGAAGGGAGAAAUGUGGAUGUGAUCCUGAAGGCUUAGAUAAGGGCCCCUGAAGAGUGGUUGCCACUUGGAGAAGGCCCUUUGCCUCCGGGGAGCUCCCUAGACCAGAGGUGGCAUUCGGAACUCUCCAGACCGGCCUCAGAGCUGAGAAAUUUCUCUACUUCUGGUCACUGUGAAAAGGCUCAUCUUCUUGGGAGGAACAGGAUCCUGCCUUCUUCCCUGUCUCCCUGCACUCUGCCUCCCCAGGCUGGCCCUGCAGGGGCCCGGGCCUUGGCACCGCCAGCAUUUUCUCCUCUGAAUGCCUCCAGGGAUGCCAGCAUGAGGCCAGGUCCCCAGACAGCUGUGCGGAGCCCAC
ensembl:lncRNA